CUAUGGCGGUCGAGACUUGGCCUACCACCAAAUGUCAGAAUUUGGUGACCGAAUUCAAUCAUCAAUAUGAUGACUAAAAUUUAUGGACAUCAUGAACUAACAGGAAAUAACCUUGCUGGAAUGGAUUUGGAGGAACAGAUUGAAUUAGUUUUCAAUAACAAUGAUGUAUCAAUCAAUGGAAUAAAACUUUCACUUGAUGAAGCUGCAGGCUUAGCGGCUUAGCUGCAGCAACUAAUAAGGGAAGUAGGAAACUGGGAAUCUGAAUGCUGUGAGUUUACCAGUUACCUCCCACAAACUUCCAUCGGCUGAAACUAUUGUGAAACCACAGCUGAAGUUCAACGACAGAAUAAUUGGACGAAUUGGGAGAUGACAAUGAGUUGGACCACCCCUACAAAUUUGAGUUCGAAUCUUUACACCAGAUCCAAAGUUCUUGACUGCACUUGAUUUAUUGCCUUCAUUUCCAAAUCUAGAAACCCAUUUAUUGAUGAGAGACACUGAAUAAGAUGGUUUAAAGUCUUUUUGAAGUUUUCCUUGCUGAAUCUGUGAUAGCUGUUGAUCUUGAGGCCCAUUUAUACAGAUCCUUUCAAGGCACAACAUGUUUGAUGCAAAUUUCAACUACCAAAACUGACUUCAUCAUUGAUACUUCAAAACUGUGGGAAUGGGAUCAACUACAGCUUUUGAAAGAAGUUUUCUGCAAUCUAAUGAUUGUCAAGAUUUUUCAUGGAGCCUAAUAUAGAAAUUCAGUGGCUUCAGCGUGAUUUCGGUAUUUACGUGGUCAAUCUGUUCGACACCUACCUCGCUGCAAAACGACUCGGCUUUGCCAAACUUUCAUUGUCCUUCCUCCUCAUCUGCCAAGUUAACGCUGACAAACGAUAGCCGACUGGCGUAUUCGUCCCUUGACCGAACAGAUGGCCCACUAGGCCACUAUGCUCGGCAAGACACUCUUGGUUAUGAAAUGAUGAAAAUGGAUUUGAAGAAGGUCCAACGGAAAAACCAUUACAACCAUAACUAAAGUCUACAGGAAAAAAUUUGCUGACAGAAGAUUGGCAAAUUAGCCGACUGGUUUGCUUCAAGCGCUACCGAAUUCCCCAAGUCACCACAACAGAUUAAGAACCAUCGACAAUCAUUCAGUACUCUCUUUUAAAUAACUAACUUUCUGAAAAAUUCAAGCUUACAAAAUACAAAGAUCUAUGGCAUGGAAUGCGUUUUAUUGUCCCAUCCUCCGCCCACACAUGCACCACUGUCUGAUAUGAAUUUAGAAAAAAAAAUUGUCUAAAAUUCUCAAAAACACAAAAAUACGUUGUCGAAAUUUAAAGGGGAAACGAAGGGAACACGGAGAAAAAUAAAGAGUUAAUUUAAAAAUGUGAGUUUGAGAAACGCCAAUAAGAAUUUUAUUGUUUGUUGG